rnacentral:rRNA from 1 species
UAGGGAAUCUUCGGCAAUGGACGGAAGUCUGACCGAGCAACGCCGCGUGAGUGAAGAAGGUUUUCGGAUCGUAAAGCUCUGUUGUAAGAGAAGAACGAGUGUGAGAGUGGAAAGUUCACACUGUGACGGUAUCUUACCAGAAAGGGACGGCUAACUAUGUGCCAGCAGCCGCGGUAAUACGUAGGUCCCGAGCGUUGUCCGGAUUUAUUGGGCGUAAAGCGAGCGCAGGCGGUUAGAUAAGUCUGAAGUUAAAGGCUGUGGCUUAACCAUAGUACGCUUUGGAAACUGUUUAACUUGAGUGCAGAAGGGGAGAGUGGAAUUCCAUGUGUAGCGGUGAAAUGCGUAGAUAUAUGGAGGAACACCGGUGGCGAAAGCGGCUCUCUGGUCUGUAACUGACGCUGAGGCUCGAAAGCGUGGGGAGCAAACAGGAUUAGAUACCCUGGUAGUCCACGCCGUAAACGAUGAGUGCUAGGUAUUGGGUCCUUUCCGGGACUCAGUGCCGUAGCUAACGCAUUAAGCACUCCGCCUGGGGAGUACGACCGCGAAGGUUG